rnacentral:rRNA from 1 species
UUGGAGGGCAAGUCUGGUGCCAGCAGCCGCAGUAAUUCCAGCUCCAAUAGCGUAUAUUAAAGUUGUUGCAGUUAAAAAGCUCGUAGUUGAAUUUCGGGGUUCAUACGUUGGUCGGGCUUUUUGGUCUGUACUAGCGUAAUGGAUUCCUACCUUCUGAAUAACCGGCAUGCCAUUAAUUUGGUGCGCCGGGGAAGCAGGACUGUUACCUUGAAAAAAUUAGAGUGCUUAAAGCAGGCUAUUGCCUGAAUACAUUAGCAUGGAAUAAUGAAAUAGGACGGCAUGGUUCUAUUUUGUUGGUUUCUAGGAUCACCGUAAUGAUUAAUAGGGAUAGUUGGGGGCAUUAGUAUUCAAUUGUCAGAGGUGAAAUUCUUGGAUUUAUUGAAGACUAACUUCUGCGAAAGCAUUUGCCAAGGAUGUUUUCAUUAAUCAAGAACGAAAGUUAGGGGAUCGAAGACGAUCAGAUACCGUCGUAGUCUUAACCAUAAACUAUGCCGACUAGGGAUCGGACGAUGUUAAUUUUUUAAUGACUCGUUCGGCGCCUUACGGGAAAC